GACGAGUGGCGAACGGGUGAGUAAUGCAUCGGAACGUACCUUCAGUGGGGGAGUAACGUAGCGAAAGUUACGCUAAUACCGCAUAUUCUGUGAGCAGGAAAGCAGGGGAUCGCAAGACCUUGCGCUGAUUGAGCGGCCGAUGUCAGAUUAGCUAGUUGGUGAGGUAAAGGCUCACCAAGGCGACGAUCUGUAGCGGGGUCUGAGAGGAUGAUCCGCCACACUGGAACUGAGACACGGUCCAGACUCCUACGGGAGGCAGCAGUGGGGAAUUUUGGACAAUGGGGGCAACCCUGAUCCAGCCAUGCCGCGUGAGUGAAGAAGGCCUUCGGGUUGUAAAGCUCUUUCGGCCGGGAAGAAAUCGCAUGGGUUAAUACCCUGUGCGGAUGACGGUACCGGCAUAAGAAGCACCGGCUAACUACGUG
rnacentral:rRNA from 1 species